rnacentral:rRNA from 1 species
CUAAGAAUAUUCCGCAAUGGACGGAAGUCUGACGGAGCGACGCCGCGUGGAUGACGAAGGCCGAAAGGUUGUAAAGUUCUUUUGCUGGGGAAGAAUAACCGCAGGAGGGAAUGCCUGUGGGAUGACAAGAACCGGCGAAUAAGCCCCGGCCAACUACGUGCCAGCAGCCGCGGUAACACGUAGGGGGGCGAGCGUUGUUCGGAAUUACUGGGCGUAAAGGGCAUGUAGGCGGCUUGGAAAGCCUGGCGUGAAAGUCUGCAGCUUAACUGCAGGGGUGCGCUGGGAACUGCUGAGCUUGAGUGACGGAGAGGGAGCUGGAAUUCCUGGUGUAGGGGGUGAAAUCUGUAGAUAUCAGGAAGAACACCGAUGGCGAAGGCAAGCUCCUGGCCGAUGACUGACGCUGAGGUGCGAAAGUGUGGGGAUCAAACAGGAUUAGAUACCCUGGUAGUCCACACAGUCAACGAUGUGCACUAGGUGCUGGGGCGGUAGCUUCGGUGCCGGAGCGAACGUGGUAAGUGCACCGCCUGGGGAGUAUGCUCGCAAGGGUGAAACUC